GACGAACCGUCCAAACGUUAUUCGGAAUUACUGGGCUUAAAGGGUGCGUAGGCGGCGCGGAAAGUUGGGUGUGAAAUCCCUCGGCUCAACCGAGGAACUGCGCCCAAUACUACCGUGCUUGAGGGAGAUAGAGGUGAGCGGAACUUAGGGUGGAGCGGUGAAAUGCGUUGAUAUCAUCAGGAAUACCGGAGGCGAAGGCGGCUCACUGGGGGUUAUCUGACGCUGAGGAACGAAAGCCAGGGGAGCGAACGGG
rnacentral:rRNA from 1 species